rnacentral:tRNA from 1 species
GGGGAUGUGGCUCAAGUGGUAGUGCACUCGCUUGACAUGCGGGCGGCGCUGGGUUCGAUCCUCAGCACCACA